GACGAACGCUGGCGGCGUGCCUAAUACAUGCAAGUCGAGCGGAUCUUCAUUAGCUUGCUUUUGAAGAUCAGCGGCGGACGGGUGAGUAACACGUGGGCAACCUGCCUGUAAGACUGGGAUAACUUCGGGAAACCGGAGCUAAUACCGGAUAAUCCUUUUCCUCUCAUGAGGAAAAGCUGAAAGACGGUUUCGGCUGUCACUUACAGAUGGGCCCGCGGCGCAUUAGCUAGUUGGUGAGGUAACGGCUCACCAAGGCGACGAUGCGUAGCCGACCUGAGAGGGUGAUCGGCCACACUGGGACUGAGACACGGCCCAGAAUCCUACGGGAGGCAGCAGUAGGGAAUCUUCCGCAAUGGACGAAAGUCUGACGGAGCAACGCCGCGUGAGCGAUGAAGGCCUUCGGGUCGUAAAGCUCUGUUGUCAGGGAAGAACAAGUACCGGAGUAACUGCCGGUACCUUGACGGUACCUGACCAGAAAGCCACGGCUAACUACGUGCCAGCCGCCGCCGUAA
rnacentral:rRNA from 1 species